CUACUCAUGCAGUCGAACGGUAACAGGAAGCAGCUUGCUGCUUUGCUGACGAGUGGCGGACGGGUGAGUAAUGUCUGGGAAACUGCCUGAUGGAGGGGGAUAACUACUGGAAACGGUAGCUAAUACCGCAUAACGUCGCAAGACCAAAGAGGGGGACCUUCGGGCCUCUUGCCAUCGGAUGUGCCCAGAUGGGAUUAGCUAGUAGGUGGGGUAACGGCUCACCUAGGCGACGAUCCCUAGCUGGUCUGAGAGGAUGACCAGCCACACUGGAACUGAGACACGGUCCAGACUCCUACGGGAGGCAGCAGUGGGGAAUAUUGCACAAUGGGCGCAAGCCUGAUGCAGCCAUGCCGCGUGUAUGAAGAAGGCCUUCGGGUUGUAAAGUACUUUCAGCGGGGAGGAAGGUGAUGAGGUUAAUAACCUCGUCAAUUGACGUUACCCGCAGAAGAAGCACCGGCUAACUCCGUGCCAGCAGCCGCGGUAAUACGGAGGGUGCAAGCGUUAAUCGGAAUUACUGGGCGUAAAGCGCACGCAGGCGGUCUGUCAAGUCGGAUGUGAAAUCCCCGGGCUCAACCUGGGAACUGCAUUCGAAACUGGCAGGCUAGAGUCUUGUAGAGGGGGGUAGAAUUCCAGGUGUAGCGGUGAAAUGCGUAGAGAUCUGGAGGAAUACCGGUGGCGAAGGCGGCCCCCUGGACAAAGACUGACGCUCAGGUGCGAAAGCGUGGGGAGCAAACAGGAUUAGAUACCCUGGUAGUCCACGCCGUAAACGAUGUCGACUUGGAGGUUGUGCCCUUGAGGCGUGGCUUCCGGAGCUAACGCGUUAAGUCGACCGCCUGGGGGAGUACGGCCGCAAGGUUAAAACUCAAAUGAAUUGACGGGGGCCCGCACAAGCGGUGGAGCAUGGGGUUUAAUUCGAUGCAACGCGAAGAACCUUACCUACUCUUGACAUCCAGAGAACUUUCCAGAAAUGAUUGGUGCCUUCGGGAACUCUGAGACAGGUGCUGCAUGGCUGUCGUCAGCUCGUGUUGUGAAAUGGUUGGGUUAAGUCCCGCAACGAGCGCAACCCUUAUCCUUUGUUGCCACCGGUUAGGCCGGGAACUCAAAGGAGACUGCCCCUGGUAAUCUUGAGGAAA
rnacentral:rRNA from 1 species